rnacentral:rRNA from 1 species
AUUGAACGCUGGCGGCAGGCUUAACACAUGCAAGUCGAGCGAGCGGCGGACGGGUGAGUAAUGUCUGGGAAACUGCCUGAUGGAGGGGGAGAACUACUGGAAGCGGUAGCUAAUACCACAUGCCAUCAGAUGUGCCGGGAUGGGUUUAGCUAGUAGGUGGGGUAAGGGCUCACCUAGGCGACGAUCCCUAGCUGGUCGGUCAGGAUGACCAGGCACACUGGAACUGAAACACGGUCCAGACUCAUACGUGAGGCGGCGUAGGGGAAUAUUGCAUAAGGGGCGCAAGGCUGAUGCAGCCCUGCCGCGUGUGUGAAGAAGGCAUGCGGGUUGUAAAGCACAUUUAGCGAGGAAGCGUUACUCGCAGAAGAAGCACCGGCUAACUCCGUGCCAGCAGCCGCGGUAAUAC